UACGAAGGGGGCUAGCGUUGUUCGGAAUUACUGGGCGUAAAGCGCACGUAGGCGGAUACUUAAGUUAGGGGUGAAAUCCCAGAGCUCAACUCUGGAACUGCCUUUAAUACUGGGUAUCUCGAGUCCGAGAGAGGUGAGUGGAAUUCCGAGUGUAGAGGUGAAAUUCGUAGAUAUUCGGAGGAACACCAGUGGCGAAGGCGGCUCACUGGCUCGGUACUGACGCUGAGAUGCGAAAGCGUGGGGAGCAAACAGG
rnacentral:rRNA from 1 species